rnacentral:rRNA from 1 species
AUCCGGGUUGCGGACAGUGUCUGGUGGGUAGUUUGACUGGGGCGGUCUCCUCCUAAAGAGUAACGGAGGAGCACGAAGGUUGGCUAAUCCUGGUCGGACAUCAGGAGGUUAGUGCAAUGGCAUAAGCCAGCUUGACUGCGAGCGUGACGGCGCGAGCAGGUGCGAAAGCAGGUCAUAGUGAUCCGGUGGUUCUGAAUGGAAGGGCCAUCGCUCAACGGAUAAAAGGUACUCCGGGGAUAACAGGCUGAUACCGCCCAAGAGUUCAUAUCGACGGCGGUGUUUGGCACCUCGAUGUCGGCUCAUCACAUCCUGGGGCUGAAGUAGGUCCCAAGGGUAUGGCUGUUCGCCAUUUAAAGUGGUACGCGAGCUGGGUUUAGAACGUCGUGAGACAGUUCGGUCCCUAUCUGCCGUGGGCGCUGGAGAACUGAGGGGGGCUGCUCCUAGUACGAGAGGACCGGAGUGGACGCAUCACUGGUGUUCGGGUUGUCAUGCCAAUGGCACUGCCCGGUAGCUAAAUGCGGAAGAGAUAAGUGCUGAAAGCAUCUAAGCACGAAACUUGCCCCGAGAUGAGUUCUCCCUGACUCCUUGAGAGUCCUGAAGGAACGUUGAAGACGACGACGUUGAUAGGCCGGAUGUGUAAGCGCAGCGAUGCGUUGAGCUAACCGGUACUAAUGAACCGUGAGGCUUAACCUU